GCCCGCUCAGAAACUCAAAGGAAUUGACGGGGCCCGCACAAGCGGUGGAGUAUGUGGUUAAUUCGAUGCAACGCGAAGAACCUUACCUGGUCUUGACAUCCCGGAGACCCUUAGGAAACUAGGGGUGCUUCCAUCUGGAAGAAUCUGGAGACAGGUGCUGCAUGGCUGUCGUCAGCUCGUGUCGUGAGAUGUUGGGUUAAGUCCCGCAACGAGCGCAACCCUUGCCUUUAGUUGCCAGCAGUUCGGCUGGGCACUCUAAAGGGACUGCCGGUGUUAAACCGGAGGAAGGUGGGGAUGACGUCAAGUCCUCAUGGCCUUUAUGACCAGGGCUACACACGUACUACAAUGGCCGAUACAAAGGGCAGCGACACUGCGAGGUGAAGCCAAUCCCGUAAAAUCGGUCUCAGUCCGGAUUGGAGUCUGCAACUCGACUCCAUGAAGUUGGAAUCGCUAGUAAUCGUGGAUCAGCAUGCCACGGUGAAUACGUUCCCGGGCCUU
rnacentral:rRNA from 1 species